rnacentral:tRNA from 2 species
GCAUAGCUCAGUUGGGAGAGCAUCUGCCUUACAAGCAGAGGGUCAUAGGUUCGAGUCCUAUUGCGAC